rnacentral:rRNA from 1 species
GACGAACGCUGGCGGCGUGCCUAAUACAUGCCAGUUGAGCGAUGAAGAUUGGUGCUUGCACCAAUUUGAAGAGCAGCGAACGGGUGAGUAACGCGUGGGGAAUCUGCCUUUGAGCGGGGGACAACAUUUGGAAACGAAUGCUAAUACCGCAUAACAACUUUAAACAUAAGUUUUAAGUUUGAAAGAUGCAAUUGCAUCACUCAAAGAUGAUCCCGCGUUGUAUUAGCUAGUUGGUGAGGUAAAGGCUCACCAAGGCGAUGAUACAUAGCCGACCUGAGAGGGUGAUCGGCCACAUUGGGACUGAGACACGGCCCAAACUCCUACGGGAGGCAGCAGUAGGGAAUCUUCGGCAAUGGACGAAAGUCUGGCCGAGCAACGCCGCGUGAGUGAAGAAGGGUUUCGGAUCGUAAAACUCUGUUGGUAGAGAAGAACGUUGGUGAGAGUGGAAAGCUCAUCAAGUGACGGUAACUACCCAGAAAGGGACGGCUAACUACGUG